GAUGAACGCUGGCGGCGUGCUUAACACAUGCAAGUCGAACGGAAAGGCCCAAGCUUGCUUGGGUACUCGAGUGGCGAACGGGUGAGUAACACGUGGGUGAUCUGCCCUGCACUUCGGGAUAAGCCUGGGAAACUGGGUCUAAUACCGGAUAGGACCACAUUUUGGAUGGUGUGGUGGAAAGUUUUUCGGUGUGGGUUGAGCUCGCGGCCUAUCAGCUUGUUGGUGGGGUAAUGGCCUACCAAGGCGUCGACGGGUAGCCGGCCUGAGAGGGUGUACGGCCACAUUGGGACUGAGGGACGGCACAGACUCCGACGGGAGGGAGCAGUGGGGAAGAUUGAACAAGGGGCGCAAGCCGGAUGCAGCGACGCCGCGUGGGGGAUGACGGCCUUCGGGUUGUAAAAUACUUUCGCUAGGGACGAAGCGUUAUGUGACGGUACCUGGAGAAGAAGCACCGGCUAACUACGUG
rnacentral:rRNA from 1 species